GACGAACGCUGGCGGCGUGCUUAACACAUGCAAGUCGAACGGACAGGCCCUGCGUUUGCUCCGUUCUCGUUUGGCGCACGGGGGAGUAACACACGAGUAACACCCCCCUGUCAUUCUGGGAACACCUGGGGAAAGCGGCUAAUAUACCAUAUGAGCUCUUGAAGCACGUUGGUCAAUAGAGAAAUACGGUGUUUGGGGCACGUCUAGCGGGGUCUCAGCUAGAUGGUAAGGUAGUGGAUUAACAAGGCUUUCACGGGUACACGACCUGAGAGAGUGAUCGGCCACCCUGGAACGUGGACACGGUCCAGACUACUAAGGGAGGCAGCAGUAGGGAAUCUUCCGCAAUGGGCGAAAGCCUGACGGAGCAACGCCGAGUGAGUGAUGAAGGUCUUCGGAUCGUAAAACUCUGUUAUUAGGGAAGAACAAAUGUGUAAGUAACUAUGCACGUCUUGACGGUACCUAAUCAGAAAGCCACGGCUAACUACGUG
rnacentral:rRNA from 1 species